GGUAGUACGGCGAAGUGGUCUAAGGUGCUGGAUUUUGGCUCCAGUCUAUUUGGAGGUGUGGGUUCAAAUCCUGCUACUGAUUU